AUUAAGUAUUAAGAUGAUAGAAGUUGUGUCAGGUCUCGAGGAGGACAAUUUAGAUGGAGUGCUGGAUUCGACUGAUUGAGGAGGAGCCAGACAUUAAGAGGAGAUUGGAUUUAAUCCUGAUGUUUAUAACCCAAGUCCUUCAUGCUUUAGAAUGCAUGAAGCGGAUGAUUUGACUUUGACCCUUAGUUGUACUAAGAUUAUGCUACAUUUGGUACUUUGAACUUGAUGAUCACUAAUGGAUUGGGAUGUUCU